CCUGGUGCCUCAGAAGGUAAAGAAUCUGCCUGCAAUGCAGAAAACCUGGGUUCAAUCCCUGGGUCAGGA
rfam:TPA: Bos taurus chromosome 2, whole genome shotgun sequence.